rnacentral:rRNA from 1 species
UACGUAGGGGGCUAGCGUUAUCCGGAAUUACUGGGCGUAAAGGGUGCGUAGGUGGUUUCUUAAGUCAGAGGUGAAAGGCUACGGCUCAACCGUAGUAAGCCUUUGAAACUGGGAAACUUGAGUGCAGGAGAGGAGAGUGGAAUUCCUAGUGUAGCGGUGAAAUGCGUAGAUAUUAGGAGGAACACCAGUUGCGAAGGCGGCUCUCUGGACUGUAACUGACACUGAGGCACGAAAGCGCGGGGAGCAAACAGG